rnacentral:rRNA from 1 species
UACGGGGGGGGCAAGCGUUGUUCGGAAUUACUGGGCGUAAAGGGCUCGUAGGCGGCCAACUAAGUCGGAUGUGAAAUCCCCGGGCUCAACCCGGGAACUGCGUCCGAUACUGGAUGGCUUGGAUUUGGGAGAGGGAUGCGGAAUUCCAGGUGUAGCGGUGAAAUGCGUAGAUAUCUGGAGGAACACCGGUGGCGAAGGCGGCAUCCUGGACCAAUAUUGACGCUGAGGAGCGAAAGCUAGGGGAGCAAACGGG